GGCAUUACUAGGUAUGCGUAUUGGAGACAGGAGGAGACUGAUCAUCCCACCAUCAAUGGUUUAUGGUGAAAGAGCUCCAGAUGUUUUUCCCUCAGAUUCAUGGCUGGUGUAUGAUAUUGAAUUGGUUUCUGUGCGUUGAUUGCUUAAAGUCCAGCAAAAUCUAAUGAAGCGAGAUUCAAGUGUUUUGAUGUUAAGUAGCAGCAAAAUUUAGAGAAGCAGAACUCAAAAGUGUUUUAAAAUAUUUCGUAGUGCUUUGAACAUAAAGUUCAUAUGACUAUAGGUACAGUAGAGCUGGAACAACAGCUCUUUUUGGUGAUUUACUGAAGGCUUGUUUUCUUUUUUGUUUGCCUAGUGUACUUGUGGGAGACUCUUAGCAAGGCUAUUACAAGCAACUGCUAAUGCAUUAGUAAGUCCAAGUGAGUAGUCUGUUCUA